rnacentral:rRNA from 1 species
CUACGGGGUGCACCAGUGAGGAAUAUUGCACAAUGGAGGAAACUCUGAUGCAGCAACGCCGCGUGGAGGAUGACGCAUUUCGGUGUGUAAACUCCUUUUAUGAGUCAAGAAAAUGACGGUAGCUCAUGAAUAAGCACCGGCUAACUCCGUGCCAGCAGCCGCGGUAAUACGGAGGGUGCAAGCGUUACUCGGAAUCACUGGGCGUAAAGGACGCGUAGGCGGGAUAUCAAGUCAGGUGUGAAAUCCUACAGCUUAACUGUAGAACUGCACUUGAAACUGGUAACCUAGAGUAUGGGAGGGGGAGAUGGAAUUAGUGGUGUAGGGGUAAAAUCCGUAGAUAUCACUAGGAAUACCUAAAGCGAAGGCGAUCUCCUGGAACAUAACUGACGCUAAGGCGUGAAAGCGUGGGGAGCAAACAGGAUAGAUACCCCCGUAGUC